rnacentral:misc_RNA from 1 species
AUAACCUUAAUAGACCUCUUGCCUUGAAAAUCCUCCUAUCACAAGUUUUUGAAAGCAGACUCAUGUUGACGUUUCUUUGGAGUCAAUCUAGCCAGCAAUGCUUUGUUAUGACAAUGCUCUGUGUCAACAAAGUAGAAAUUCCCAUUGGCCUUAAAUGUCACGAAAGGCCUAUUAGUCUCUGGUGGCCGAAUAUCAGCAAACUUAAUAGUCUUCG